GCCUCCGUAGCUCAGCGGAUAGAGCAGAGGGUUUCUACCCCUUGUGUCGCGGGUUCGAUUCCUGCCGGAGGCA
rnacentral:tRNA from 3 species